GGGCCUAUAGUGUAAUGGAUAGCACAAGUGUCUUCGGAACAUUUAGUUUGGGUUCGAAUCCUGAUAGGCCCGCCA
rnacentral:tRNA from 2 species